AUGGCCGGCGGCGCGGCGGAGGAGCCGCAGAUCCGCGUGGAGCAGGCCGCCCUCGAGCACGGGCGCCAUCUGCUGCCGCGGCGGCAUGCUCCUCGGGAAGCUGCCUCGCCGCCGAUCCACGACGAGCUCCUGCUGGACAUCUUCCUCCGCAUUCCGAAUCCAGCCGACCUCGUCCGCACCUCCGUCGCCUGCGUCCCGUUCCGCCGCCUCAUCGCCGACCGCUCUUUCCUCCGGCAGUACCGCAAGCGCCACGCCCCGCCCCUCCUCGGCCUCCUCGAUACAUGCAGAAUCUUCCACCCGGCCGAGCCGCCUCACCCCUCCUCGUCGGCAGCCAGGGCCGUCGUUCUCGCCGCUGACUUCUCCUUCUCCUUCCUUCCCGCCCCCGCCCACCACUGGGUCGUCCAGGACAGUCGCGAUGGCCGCGUCCUCCUCCAGGGAACCUUCAGCCAGCACCACAACGAUUGGCCCCGCAAAGUCCUGGAUUUCUUCCGGGAGAUCGCGGUGUGCGACCCCUUGCACCGGCGGUACCUCGUGCUCCCUCCUGUCUCGGACGACCUAGCAGCCGCUAUGGUCCAAGAGCAAGACCCAGUCUGCAAAUAUGAGGCCUUCCUCAUUCCACCGGACAAUGACGAAGCAGCGACGUCAUUCAGAGUGAUGUGGAUGGGGCAGAGCAAAACUAAGCUGUUCGCCUUUGUCUUCUCUUCCACCACCGGACAAUGGCGAGCCAUUCCGUCCGUGAGUUGGAUCGAUUUGCUUCCUGGCUUUCCAUAUUCAACAAACAACACACGCUUCUACUUCCGCACAUACACUUCUCGCUGCUUCUACUGGGUGACUAAGUCGGUUCAUUGGAUGGAAGUAAUGAAAAUGCUGGUGUUCGACACCCGGAGGAUGGAGUUCUCCAUUGCCGACCCCCCAGAAGAAGCCAGACGUUCUCAUGGUAUAGCCAUGGUGGAGGCAGGGGAAGGCAGGCUUGGGAUGUUUCUGCUUGAAUCUGGUCCACUUUACUUCAGUUUACAUUAUACCAUUAAGCAAAACAGUGCUGGGAGUGCCGGCCAGUGGCAGAGGGAGAAGACUAUCUCAUUCACACCAGGUUCUUGUUAUGAGCUAUCACCAGAUUCUUUUUAUGAGCUCGCUGGUUCAGUGGAGGACAGGUACUUGCUCCUGCUCCAGCGAGGAACCUCCAGGAAAAAUUCAAGCUGUUUCACACUUGACAGCAGAACAUUUCAGCUUCAGAGAGUGUGUAGUGAACAGUCUGGCCACACAUAUAGUAACUUCCCGCCAUCGUUGUUGUCAUCACCCACGGUAUCAAGUGGUACUCAGGAAGUUGCUGAGAAGGAGAUGCUGGAGCAAAGCAUGGAGGUGCUUCGAGCUGAUGAGCCCAUAGAUGCGGAUGCUGCAGGUCGGGCUGGUGUGUUGAGGAUUGGAGAUGGCGUUGAUUAA
rnacentral:rRNA from 1 species